rnacentral:rRNA from 1 species
AUUGAACGCUGGCGGCAGGCCUAACACAUGCAAGUCGAACGAGUGGCGGACGGGUGAGUAAUGUCUGGGAACCUGCCCGAGGGAGGGGGAUGACUACUGGAAACGGUAGCUGAUACCGCAUACCAUCGGAUGUGCCCAGAUGGGAUUAGCUAGUGGGUGGGGUAAUGGCGCACCUAGGCGACGAUCCCUAGCUGGUCUGAGAGGAUGACCAGCCACACUGGAACUGGGACACGGUCCAGACUCCUACGGGAGGCAGCAGUGGGGAAUAUUGCACAAUGGGCGCAAGCCUGAGGCAGCAAUGCCGCGUGUAUGAAGAAGGCCUUCGGGUUGUAAAGUACUGUCAGCGGGGAGGCGUUACCCGCAGAAGAAGCACCGGCUAACUCCGUGCCAGCAGCCGCGGUAAUUC